rnacentral:rRNA from 1 species
AUUGAACGCUGGCGGCACGCCUAACACAUGCAAGUCGAGCGGCAGCGCGAUGUGUAGCAAUACACAUUGGCGGCGAGCGGCGGACGGGUGAGGAACACGUAGGAAUCUACCCUCAAGCGGGGGACAACCAAGGGAAACUUUGGCUAAUACCGCAUAAUCUCGAGAGAGCAAAGCUGCAGCAAUGUGGCACUUGAGGAGGAGCCUGCGUCCGAUUAGCUAGUUGGUAGGGUAAUGGCCUACCAAGGCAAUGAUCGGUAACUGGUCUGAGAGGACGACCAGUCACACUGGGACUGAGACACGGCCCAGACUCCUACGGGAGGCAGCAGUGGGGAAUCUUGGACAAUGGGGGCAACCCUGAUCCAGCGAUGCCGCGUGAGUGAAGAAGGCCCUCGGGUCGUAAAGCUCUUUAGGUUGGGAAGAAGAGUAUGGGAGGAAAUGCCUGUACUUUGACGGUACCGACAGAAUAAGCACCGGCAAACUCUGUGCCAGCCGCCGCGGUAACAC